ACUUCGGUACAUCGGUGACAGGUGGUGCAUGGUUGUCGUCAGCUCGUGUCGUGAGAUGUUGGGUUAAGUCCCGCAACGAGCGCAACCCUCGACCUUAGUUGCCAGCAUUCAGUUGGGCACUCUAAGGUGACUGCCGGCUAAAAGUCGGAGGAAGGUGGGAUGACGUCAAAUCAUCAUGCCCCUUAUGACCUGGGCUACACACGUGCUACAAUGGGCGGUACAAAGGGUCGCGAACCCGCGAGGGGGAGCCAAUCCCAAAAAGCCGCUCUCAGUUCGGAUUGCAGGCUGCAACUCGCCUGCAUGAAGCCGGAAUCGCUAGUAAUCGCGGAUCAGCAUGCCGCGGUGAAUACGUUCCCGGGCCUU
rnacentral:rRNA from 1 species